UUGGAGCCCCAAACUCAUUUAUUAGGAAGGUGAAAACGGGUCAUGACCAUGAAGCAGGAGAAGAAGAAGAAGAAGUAGCAGGAGAUGCAACAACUACCACUGGCAGCCCACAACAGUGCAACCCCCGAUCAACUUCGCCACCACCCACUACUGAAGGAAACGAGCAACCCGGUGAAGAUUGUCACGUCAUUCAAGAAAAUGUCCAAGCCUCUAACCGCCAUGAUGAAUCAUCCUCACCACCCUCCGAUCCAGAUCCCUUCGCUGAAGACUUCCCAUUAGAUGAAGAUUUGAUGGGGAGUAAUAAUAAUAU